ACGGGAGGCAGCAGUGGGGAAUAUUGCACAAUGGGGGAAACCCUGAUGCAGCGACGCCGCGUGAGUGAAGAAGUAUUUCGGUAUGUAAAGCUCUAUCAGCAAGGAAGAAAUGACGGUACUUGACUAAGAAGCUCCGGCUAAAUACGUGCCAGCAGCCGCGGUAAUACGUAUGGAGCAAGCGUUAUCCGGAUUUACUGGGUGUAAAGGGAGCGUAGACGGGAAAUCAAGUUGGAUGUGAAAUGUCGGGGCUUAACCCCGGAACUGCAUCCAAAACUGAUUUUCUUGAGUGAAGUAGAGGUAGGCGGAAUUCCGAGUGUAGCGGUGAAAUGCGUAGAUAUUCGGAGGAACACCAGUGGCGAAGGCGGCCUACUGGGCUUUAACUGACGCUGAGGCUCGAAAGUGUGGGGAGCAAACAGGAUUAGAUACCCUGGUA
rnacentral:rRNA from 1 species